rnacentral:rRNA from 1 species
UACGGAGGGUGCAAGCGUUAUCCGGGUUCACUGGGUUUAAAGGGAGCGUAGGUGGGCUGGUAAGUCAGUGGUGAAAUCUCCGGGCUUAACUCGGAAACUGCCGUUGAUACUAUCAGUCUUGAAUAUUGUGGAGGUAAGCGGAAUAUGUCAUGUAGCGGUGAAAUGCUUAGAUAUGACAUAGAACACCGAUAGCGAAGGCAGCUUGCUACACAAUUAUUGACACUGAGGCUCGAAAGCGUGGGGAUCAAACAGG